rnacentral:rRNA from 1 species
ACACGUAGGGGGCGAGCGUUGUCCGGAAUUACUGGGCGUAAAGGGCGUGUAGGCGGCCGAUCAAGUCAGGUGUGAAAUUUCAGGGCUCAACCCUGAACGUGCACUUGAAACUGGUAGGCUUGAGUGCAGAAGAGGAAAGUGGAAUUCCCAGUGUAGCGGUGAAAUGCGUAGAUAUUGGGAGGAACACCAGUGGCGAAGGCGACUUUCUGGUCUGUAACUGACGCUGAGGCGCGAAAGCUAGGGGAGCAAACAGGAUUAGAUACCCUGGUAGUCCUAGCCGUAAACGAUGGGUACUAGGUGUAGGGGGUUUAGACGCCCUCUGUGCCGCAGUUAACACAUUAAGUACCCCGCCUGGGGAGUACGGCCGCAAGGCUGAA